rnacentral:lncRNA from 1 species
GAUAAACAAAAAGCAUGAGCUGAAUCAGCAGGAAGUUUGAAGAAAUUAAUACGAGCUCUGAAUCAUGGGAGAAAUAGAAAACCUGAAGGUCCUGAGAGAAGGUAGCUGGAGGAAGAAGACCUCUCAGGUAAUGAGCAUCCCUCUCUUUGUCAGUGAAUGCAGUCCCUUUGUUAUGCCUUGGAUCCCUCAUCAAAUUGUACCCACUGCCAAAAGCCACAAAAGCUGAAUCAAUCAGGCAGCUAAUUGCCAAAGGGAUCCCAACUUCCUAUUCCUCAAAAUGACAAUUCAGAUGAAUGAAAUAUAAUAAUAAGGAAAACGACAAAUACAGAAUUGCGGCGAAAGGGAACCGAUUAAUAAACUAUAAAGUUAGUAUUAGUAGUGUAGUAGCAGAACUUGGUGGCUGAUCAGAUUACCUAGCAAUAGAGACGGCCCAAGGGGUGAGAAACUGCUCCUCCGUUGCAUGAUCCUCACCGUAGACGUCCUCAACGCCUCCACCCUCGACGCCAUUAACGAUCUUCUCCGUCGAAUCAUGACCUUCAUUCACGGAAGUCAUACUUCUGUGGAACAACAAACCACAAGCUGGCUCUCUCUCCCUGAAUCUACUACCGACGACGACAACAACCCGUCUCUGCAAAGCAAGUAAACAGACAAACAAGUUGGAGAGGAGGGGUCCUUUGGUGAAGCUUGAAAGAAAACCCCAGAAACCAGCUCCCAAUUUUAAAGGAAGUUGGGCGGAAAUGAAAUGAAAUUCGAAACGUCAAAUUUCAGACAGUUACAAUGUGGGUAAUUUGAAAUUCCCCUCCCCAGUUGUGAAAUGAAAUGGGUAUUGAGUUUGGUUGAAAAGGGAAACCAGAGAUGAAAAUGUUGAAGUUAUGUUGAAGUCGUCAAAGUUUUACCAGAAUGAAUGAAUGGGGAAAUGAAGGAUUGAAUUUAAAGAAAGAAAGAAUCCAUGAAAGUGGGUGAGUUGGUACCAGAAAAGUAAAAGGACUACUGCGUGGUGAAAUCAUGGGAUGGGAUGCGAUUUCUGCCGCCGAGAACGUGGAAGAGAGUGUGAGUCAGCAGCGAAAGCCAGCUGAGCUGAGAGAGAGAUGAAAAAUAGGGAAGAUAGUUGGGGAUAUUGGGGGGAAUUGAAUUCUCUUUUUCUUCUUUUUAGAUUUGUAAACGCGUUGUUGAAGAUACGGGUUGGGUGCGAACCUUGAAAUCAAAGGCAAGAAAGAAUUUGUUGGGACCUGGGGGGUUGUAGAUGCAGCAUAUUUGUUCACAUUUGGAUAAAAGUUCAACACCCUCGAAUGUUGGUCAGUCCUUCUUCCCUAUACUUCUACCUAGCCAAAUCUUCUUCUUUUUUGUGACAUGCAGUAGCCUAGCUUAAGAGGGAUUACAGCCAGUCCGGCCGGCGCUAUCUGAUGCCUUAUCAGCAACCUUUGCAGCAAUGUUUGCCGAUAUUUUCCUGAUGUUUGUAAAUGGUGGGUAUAUCAGUCCCUUCUCGUAAUGCUCCUCUUCUACCUGGGCAGCCAAUGCUUCCGCUGUUUCCAAUCCCAAACCAUGUUAAACCCGUAACCAUGGCUACUCUCAUAGCAUAGAUUGCUCUAAUAGCAAGAAUCGACGUGGUAAAUUAACAAUUAAACAUGUAUGAACUCACAGGCUGCCAAGAGCAAGUCAUCAUGCACACGAAUCGCCCCUGACAUUAUCAGCCCGAGACCAAAUCCUGGGAAUAUGUAAGCAUUGUUUGCCUGUCCUGGCAUCAUUACUUUUCCUUUGUGCUCAACUGGGUCAAAUGGACUUCCACUCGCAAAGAUAGCACGACCCUGCAUUCAAGAACACAAAUUCACCCUACUCCAUUUCUUACCCUUUACGACAUAAAAAGCUCUGCGAUUCUCGUACCUGGCUCCAUGUGUAAGCUUCCUCAGCUGUGCAUUCUGAUUGAGAAGUGGGAUUUGAUAGUGCAAGAAUCAGGGGUUUCUACAUUGCAUCAUUUCAUAUGUUUUAUCUUUCAUGUCAGGACAGAAGCUCUCAUUCCAAAAAAAAACAGAAACAAAAGGGAGGACAGGAAAAUAACCUCGUUGAAGGAGGCCAUUGCUUCAACAACCUCCUUUGUGAAUGUUUUCCCAGCUCCAGAUGAUCCUAUCAGGACAGUUGGCUUGAUUGCCUGAAAUCACCAGUUGUAGCUCAAGAAUGAACAAAAAUUUCAGGCAGCAAAGAAAAUAAGUUGCCAUGGACUUCCACAAAGAGGGUCAAAACUUCACUAAUUUCCAUACCUUAACAGCAUCCAGGAGAUUCUUAACAGGUUCGUGGCCAUGAGCCCAGGGCUUCUUGAAAUGCUGAAGGGACUCCUUGCGAGAACUGACGAUGAGCCCCUUCGAGUCCACCAGCCAAAUCUUCUUCCUCGUCUCUUCUACGGGAGCUUUGAUCUACAACAACAACAUGAGAAUGUAAGUUCAAAGUUGGAUCAUCAAAGGAAUUGAACUUAAUAAAGCAGAUUCAACAAACAAAAGAAGAAGGCAAUUUCACCUGCUUGGAAAUCUCCAGAGCGAUAAGCUCAGCUAUGCCAGUACCGGCCUGCAAAAUAAAAACCACAAACAUUUUAGAGUAAGAAAGAAAAACAAGAAACUAUUUCUUCUUAGACAUAUAUUCAGCAAACACCUCGCCAGCUCCCAGGAAGAGGAACGUAUGAUCUGCUAAGGUUCCUCCAACUAACUUAAGAGCUGCAAGAAGCCCUGCCAGGACUACAGAUGCUGUUCCCUGCAAAACAUGAUAAGAAACCAAAGAUCAGAAAGCUUCCAACUUCCGAACACCAAACUGCCACAAAGGUAAAAAGGAAUUUACCUGUAUAUCAUCAUUGAAAACAAGAUGGCUUUGCCUGUACCUUUCCAGGAGGUCAAAUGCAUUAUGAUUUGCAAAGUCUUCAAACUGAAAAGAGUUUGUACAAUACUCAGCCAGGGCACAGAGCAAGCAUAAUAGUAGAAGCAUGAUAAUUAAAAUGUCUUACCUGUAUCAACACUUUCUCCCCAUAAUUUUGCUUAACUGCACUCAUGAACUCUUCCAGAAGUUCAGCAUACUCCUAAAUCAUAUAGGAAAAUCCCAAAUGUGUCAAUAAGCUGAAAACAGUUGCAAUGAGGCCAAAAGAAAUAAACAAGUCUUUUCAAAACCUGUCCUGUUGCCCUCCUUUGUUUAAGUCCGAUGUAGAACUCAUCAUUCAACAGAUUUUCAUUAUUUGUACCAACGUCAAUCGUAAUUGGCAGGCACUGCAUAAUUUUUGUUACAAGAACAAGAUUCAUCAGUCAAAAAAAAUUACCAAGUAAUUUUCAGUUGUCCACCGACAGAAUUUAGCUUACUGCUGAUGGACGGAUCCCUCCUAGUGCUGUGUACAAAGAAAGCUUCCCCACAGGGAUUCCCAUUCCCUGAAAUAUGGCAUAUACGACCAAUUAGAUCAGGUGAUGCAGAAGCUUAGAACGCUAAAAGUUGAUGGAUUCUUGCAACCAUUUUUACCUGGCAGCCAAGAUCUCCAAGCCCAAGAAUUCGCUCCCCAUCCGUAACAACAAUUACUUGAAUAUUUCUCUCUGGCCAGUUCUUCAACACUUCAAGAAUCUUUCCCUUCUCUUUCAAACUGAUGUAUAGGCCCUGGGGACGCCUGAAAAUGCUGCCAUAUUUUUGGCAAGCCUCCCCAACUGUGGGAGUAUACACAACUGGCAGAAGUUCUUCAACAUUAUCAAUUAGGAGCUUGUAGAAUAGCCUUUCAUUCCUCUCCUGCACGCCAAAUAAAGGUAUCUCUCGUUUAACAGAAAAUUACUCCAAAAAGUUAAAAAAGAAGACGAGAUAUCAGAAGCACCUGAAGAUCCAUCAUAGCCAUGUAUCUUUGGAGAGGAACCUCAAACUGGCGAAGGUUAUGCAUCAACCUUUUCACCUGAUAAACAAAAAGCAUGAGCUGAAUCAGCAGGAAGUUUGAAGAAAUUAAUACGAGCUCUGAAUCAUGGGAGAAAUAGAAAACCUGAAGGUCCUGAGAGAAGGUAGCUGGAGGAAGAAGACCUCUCAGGUAAUGAGCAUCCCUCUCUUUGUCAGUGAAUGCAGUCCCUUUGUUAUGCCUUGGAUCCCUCAUCAAAUUGUACCCACUGCCAAAAGCCACAAAAGCUGAAUCAAUCAGGCAGCUAAUUGCCAAAGGGAUCCCAACUUCCUAUUCCUCAAAAUGACAAUUCAGAUGAAUGAAAUAUAAUAAUAAGGAAAACGACAAAUACAGAAUUGCGGCGAAAGGGAACCGAUUAAUAAACUAUAAAGUUAGUAUUAGUAGUGUAGUAGCAGAAC